AUUAGGAAUCGUGCGCAAUGGACGCAAGUCUGACGCCGCGACGUCGCGUGAAGGAUGAAGGUCUUAGGAUCGUAAACUUCUUUUACUUGGGAACAAGUUCUGAGUGUACCAAGUGAAUAAGUGCCUGCAAACCACGUGCCAGAAGCAUCGGUAAUACGUGGGGCACAAGCGUUAUCCGGAUUUACUGGGCGUAAAGAGACGCGUAGGCGCUUUUUCAAGUCAAUUGUCAAAUCUAUCGGCUCAACCGGUAGCUUGCAAUUGAUACUGGAUUGGUUGAAGUAGGUAGGGGAGAGGGGAAUUCCUGGUGGAGCGGUUAAAUGCGUAGAUAUCAGGAGGAACACCAAUGGCGAAGGCACCUCUCUGGACCUUACUUGACGCUAAGGCUCGAAAGCGUGGGGAGCAAAACGGAUUAGAAACCCCGGUAGUCC
rnacentral:rRNA from 1 species